GCAGCACAGGGAGCCCGAUGAGGGAACUGAUCCCAGGACCCCGGAAUCAUGACCUGAGCUGAAGGUGGAUGCUUAACUGACUGAGCCAGCCAGGUGCCCUGGAUACGCAAUUUUAAAUUGAAAAUAUCUUUAAACUACCUUAUAGUAAAUCGAUCUGUAAGUCUCAACUUAACCUCUGACGUCUUGGCCGGCUGAUUCCUGCUUUACUGAGACCUCUCCACGGUCUGGGUGCCCUGAGCAGUUUCCUUGCCCACAUUCAGAAGUUGCCAUGACAAUGAAACGAGCCAUUCUUAGGAAAAUGGCCUUGAAAACAAAAGGUUUUAUGCUUCCUUGAAGGCAAGAACAACUGGUAACUAUUUUUAUUUAUUAAGUUGUGUCUUUCCCAAAAGAUCUGUGCUAAAAUAGAACUGAUCCAACCUGCAGAAGAAAGGAAAGGAGGGACAUUUGCUCAGUCCACGGCCAGCUAGGCGUGGGAUGUACUGCCAAGUGCCUCAGCCUCAGGGAAGCACUGGGGGGUCCCUGGCGGGUCCUUCCUCGCCCAGCAGGUCCACCCCAAAGACUUCACAUGUCUUGUCACCUCGCAGCUCUGUUUGCACAUCUGUAUGCUGGUCUUAUGGGCUCUACUUCAGUGAGGAUUAAGUGACAUAUAAAUGUGAAGCCUCAGUGAAUAACUUUCACAAAUUCUAAUGUUUGUCUUUCUCUCUUCCUUAUGCCUGGACUCCGAGCUGAGACUCCCGGGGCUGACCCUUUGCAUUCUGUCUUGGUUACAGUCUUCUCACGCCGCUCUGUGGACCCCGGCUCGUCCAGCACUUUCACAUCCUUGCUCCAGUCCCUGAUGGGUAGGGAACCAACUGCUCAAGAUUAGUUGGAGUUUUGCAAAGUGUCUAUGGGAGAACUGGCUCUGCUUCCUUCUCCAGCCGUUUCAAGGCCCUGGCGAUCAUUCCAACCAUCCCUCUUCAUCUGGUCUCGUCCAUCCCACCAUUGCCUGCUCCUCGGUCUUGACUUUGUCAGAUGCUGCAGCCAACAGCUAGCAGCAGAGUCCCUGCCGUGUGCUGCUGGGGGUGCCUCCAGGGAAGAAACUGUAGACGAGUCGGAAAGAAAUAGCUUGGAGAGCAGAGGUGCCUCCGCAGAAUGCUGACUUGAUGUUCUGUUGAUGAGCAGUUUAAGGGGUCAAGAGAAUAAACAGGUGUGGGGGAGGCA
rnacentral:lncRNA from 1 species